UGGGGAAUAUUGCACAAUGGGCGCAAGCCUGAUGCAGCAACGCCGCGUGAACGAUGAAGGUCUUCGGAUCGUAAAGUUCUGUGGCAGGGGAAGAUAAUGACGGUACCCUGUGAGGAAGCUCCGGCUAACUACGUGCCAGCAGCCGCGGUAAUACGUAGGGGGCUAGCGUUAUCCGGAUUUACUGGGCGUAAAGGGUGCGUAGGUGGUCUUUCAAGUCGGUGGUUAAAGGCUACGGCUCAACCGUAGUUAGCCUCCGAAACUGGAAGACUAGAGUGCAGGAGAGGAAAGUGGAAUUCCCAGUGUAGCGGUGAAAUGCGUAGAUAUUGGGAGGAAAACCAGUAGCGAAGGCGGCUUUCUGGACUGCAACUGACACUGUGGCACGAAAGCGUGGGUAGCAAACAGG
rnacentral:rRNA from 1 species